rnacentral:tRNA from 1 species
UGGGUUGUGGCUCAAUGGUAGAGCACUUGCCUAAGAUGUGAGAGGCACUGGGUUCAAUCCCCAGCACCACAU